rnacentral:rRNA from 1 species
GAUGAACGCUGGCGGCGUGCCUAAUACAUGCAAGUCGAGCGAACAGACGCGGAGCUUGCUCCUCUGUCGUUAGCGGCGGACGGGUGAGUCACACGUGGAUACCCUCCCUAUCAGACUGGGAUCACUUCGAGACACCGGCUCUAAUCCCGGAUAAUCUCUUGAACCGCAUGGUUCAAUAGUGAAAGUCGGUUUUGCUGUCAGUUCUCGCUGGAUCCGCGCCGCUUUAGCUAGUUGGUAAGGUAACGGCUUUCCAAGGCAACCAUGCGUAGCCGACCUGAGAGGGUGAUCGGCCACAUUGGAACUGAGACACGGUCAAGACUCCUACGGGAGGCAGCAGUAGGGAAUCGGACGCAAUGGGCGAAAGCCUGACGGAGCAACGGCGCGUGAGUGAUGAAGGUCUUCGGAGCGGAAAACUCGGUUAUGAGGGAAGAACAAAUGUGUAAGGAACUAUGCACGGCGUGACGGUACCUGAUAAGAAAGCAACGGCUAACUACGUG